rnacentral:misc_RNA from 1 species
GUGAAUCAUCGAAUCUUUGAACGCAAAUUGCACUCUCUGGUAUUCCAGAGGGUAUGCCUGUUUGAGGGUCAGUUUAAAUAAAAAUCGGUGUGGUUGCUGCCUUUCGUGGGUACGCACCUGAUUUGGAUCGUCUUUCCUUCGGUUAAGUGAGCUACAAUUUUGCAUGAUUUUUUUCGAACGUCUUUAAAUAAUUUUACGUACAGUGGCGAUAUAUAAUACUUGAUGUGGUCAUCCUC